rnacentral:rRNA from 1 species
CAUAUGGGGCGAGCGUUAUCCGGAUUUAUUGGGUGUAAAGGGUGCGUAGGCGGGAAAAUAAGUCAGUAUGUGAAAUCCCUCGGCUCAACUGAGGAACUGCAACUGAAACUAUUUUCUUGAGUGUUGAAGGGGAAAGUGGAAUUCCUAGUGUAGCGGUGAAAUGCGUAGAGAUUAGGAGGAACACCAGUGGCGAAGGCGACUUUCUGGGCAACAACUGACGCUGAGGCACGAAAGUGUGGGGAGCAAACAGGAUU